AGUAGCCUGAGGGCUUGCUGUUGGGUGGGGCCAGUCCCUAGGGCAGACUUCCUGCCUUGGCAGAACUGGAUUAAAUCUGCACUCUAGUGGGUGUGGCAGACCCCUGGGCUAACAGGUCAGGGGAAAAACUUCAAUGGCGUCUGCCAGGGUCUGUGUCAGCACGCCUGUACUAGGUCACAGCAAUGGCCACCACCAAUGUCUCAGUCUCUGGAGAGGUCUCUCCUCUCACUGAGAUGCACUCAGAGCCUACCAGGGGAGUCUCUUUUCACCAAAGGACUGUCAGCCUUCUUUCCGGUGAUUUUCAGUUUCUCUCUGAGACAGAAAAUUCUUGACACUCCUGAGAUUAACAUGAGGAGCACCUAUCACCAGACUUGCUCCCAUGAUGCAAAGCUGUUUGAACUGUUAGCGGGAAUAACUAGCGUUGGUGGACUGGAUUUCAAGCCUAUGAGAACACGUGGAGAAGGACUACACGUGGAACUUGUUCUCAGAGAAUUUCAUCAGGUCUGAAAUUCAUACUGAGCUCAUGUAAGACUUCCUUCCUCUAAUGGUCUCAAUGCUUUCUUUACGUCUGUAAUCAUUAUACAAUUUCAUUAGUAUUUGUGGUAAAACUUAGAAAACCUCAAAUGCUUUUAAAAGAAAGUUACUAGUGUGUGUGUUUCUUUAAACAAACACAUGAAAGGGUUUCUUAUUAAUAAGAUACCGCUACUUCUUCAUAAUCCCUUUUACAGUUUUAAAUCUGGGAGUGUAAUUCACCACUAGGGGAUUACUAUAGUAGCAUUGAGUUUUAAGUCCUAAAUUACAAAAUUCUCAAUAAAUAAAUUUCAAUCUACUGCCAAUUACAGGAAUACAGCAGCAAAUAGUACUUGGCAGGCACUGCAUGAU
rnacentral:lncRNA from 1 species